GUGAGAUAAAUGCUGAAUAGGCCUGGGGCACAUUUUGACUCCUGUGGACAAAUCUGGAGGCUGGGAAAUCCAAGAACAUGGCACUGGCAUCAGGCAAGGGUCAGCCCAUGCUGGAGGGCAGAAGGCAGAAGUGAGCAUGUGAGACAGAGAUAAGAAAUUAGGCUGAACUUGCUUGUAUAGCAAACCCAGCCUCUCAAUAACUAACCCGCUCCAGCAAUAAUGGCAUUAAUCCAUUCAUGAGGGCAGAGCCCCCAUGACCUAUUCACAUCCUAAAGGCCCCACAUCAAUCAUAUCUCAACAUGAGGUUCAGAGGACACAAACAUUCAAACCAUAGCAGUCGGUAGAGAGCAUCAACAUAUAUUGUGGAGCAGGAAAGCAAACGUCCAGAGAGAAUGUCUAUGAUGGUACCCAAUGAGUCUAGGACCAGGAUUCUUAUGCUAUGGUCACUCAUAUUUUUGAGUUUCAUCAAAUGAAUGUCCUUCACAUCACCAGCAAGCAGCUUCCACCUUCUGGAUCUUCAGAAUGGUCUUAAAGAUGAGGGAUGGAGGCCAGGCAUGCUGGCUUAUGACUGUAAUCCCAGCAGGAAGCUAGGAGCCCAAGGCAGGAAGAUUGCUUGAGGCUAAGAGUUCAAGAUCAGUUUGGGCAACACAGCAAAAACCUAUCUCUACAAAAACUAAAAAUAAAAAUAAAUCACC
rnacentral:lncRNA from 1 species